UUAUUCAGUUAUGCUCUGGUGCAGCGGUCAUGUAAACAUCUUUAACUGAAAGCUUUACGUACUAAAUAACGGCUUUCAGUUGGAUGUUUAUGUUACCUUGUCACUAAAAAUCUCUGAAUUUCCU
rnacentral:precursor_RNA from 17 species